UUGUUUGCAGGUGCAGCAUCAUCAAGAUUCACAUUCAAAUAGAUGUACCGAAGCUAUACAGCUAUGUAGCUAGCUAGCAAUGUAUAAUCAUUGUAGGUGAGAAUCUUGAUGAUGCUGCAUCAGCCAUAAA
rfam:Populus trichocarpa scaffold_8_contig_16, whole genome shotgun sequence.